ACUAAAUGGAAGCAAAUUAAAUACCUUAUCAGAGACGCCGACCUCAUUCCCGGGAACAUAAUUGAGUAUAGUGAAAUUUUCAUCACUCUUCUGGGAUAUUUCGGAAUACAUUUCUAUAUGUUUUUCCCAAUUCUUUGGAAGGUUUUCGUUGUACUGAUUUUUGUAGUAAAUCGGUAACUGAUGCUGGAAGAUACCGCUAUCGUGCCGAGCUAUGAUCUGCAAUACCCGUUCUUUGAUCAGAUUCCUAUUCAUAGUCUCUGAAGGACGGCCGUUCGCGGCAAGCUCCAGGAAAGCUUUUGAUGCGACUACUGUCUUUGCCUGUUCUGGUGUUGUGCUUUCUUCUGGAUAACUUGUAUAACUCCACGGGACAAUUCUGUAAACCGGAUCUGGUAAUUUCAUGGACUUGGUCAAAAGUUGCAGCUCUCUACAAGGACCGUGAUUAUCUGAACCAGGAGAUUGACCCGUUGCUGCCUUUCCAAUCAGAAAAGUAAGCGUUCAGAAGAGAAACUCAAAUACUGUCAUCAAAAGUACGAUAUCUUACAGGUUUUACUGAUGUCCGCAAUGGAGUCGAGCUGGAAGCGAAUUGUAUGCCAGGAAGGAGUUUGGUUGCAGAAAGCGAAGUAGGUGUUACUGCCUCUGGCUCAGGUGGAUUUAUUGUUGGUUUGUACAUCAAUCUUUCACUAAGUGUCUUGUAGGGUUUGAGCUGCUGAAAAGGUUGUUCCUUAGAAAUCUUUAACUCUGCUGGUUGUUUAAUUGGCGUGGAAAACGGUGUUGGAAUUGACAUCAGCGGAGUGAUAUUGUGAGAUUUUAAGCUGUGAAUCAAAUACGAGAAAUGAUGACCAUAGUUAAUGCCGG
rnacentral:misc_RNA from 1 species